rnacentral:rRNA from 1 species
AGCGAACGCUGGCGGCAGGCUUAACACAUGCAAGUCGAGCGGGCAUCUUCGGAUGUCAGCGGCAGACGGGUGAGUAACACGUGGGAACGUACCCUUCGGUUCGGAACAACUCUGGGAAACUGGAGCUAAUACCGGAUACGCCCUUAUGGGGAAAGGUUUACUGCCGAAGGAUCGGCCCGCGUCUGAUUAGCUAGUUGGUGGGGUAACGGCCUACCAAGGCGACGAUCAGUAGCUGGUCUGAGAGGAUGAUCAGCCACACUGGGACUGAGACACGGCCCAGACUACUACGGGAGGCAGCAGUGGGGAAUAUUGGACAAUGGGCGCAAGCCUGAUCCAGCCAUGCCGCGUGAGUGAUGAAGGCCUUAGGGUUGUAAAGCUCUUUUGUCCGGGACGAUAAUGACGGUACCGGAAGAAUAAGCCCCGGCUAACUUCGUG